rnacentral:rRNA from 1 species
AUUGAACGCUGGCGGCAUGCCUAACACAUGCAAGUCGAACGGGGGUAGCAAUACUCCAGUGGCGGACGGGUGAGGAAUACAUAGGAAUUUGCCCUUAAGUGGGGGAUAGCCCGGGGAAACCCGGAUUAAUACCGCAUGAACUCGUGAGAGCAAAGUCAGGGACCGCAAGGCCUGGCGCUUUUGGAGAAGCCUAUGUCGGAUUAGCUUGUUGGUGAGGUACUGGCUCACCUAGGCCGCGAUCCGUAACUGGUCUGAGAGGAUGAUCAGUCACACCGGAACUGAGACACGGUCCGGACUCCUACGGGAGGCAGCAGUGGGGAAUAUUGGACAAUGGGCGAAAGCCUGGUCCAGCAAUGCCGCGUGUGUGAAGAAGGCCUUCGGGUUGUAAAGCACUUUAGGCUGGAAAGAAAAAGCUUUGGCUAAUAUCCAAAGCCUUGACGGUACCAGCAGAAUAAGCACCGGCUAACUCUGUGCCAGCCGCCGCGGUAAUAC